AAUGAACGCUGGCGGCAUGCCUAACACAUGCAAGUCGAACGAGUGGCGGACGGGUGAAUAAUGUCGGGGAAACUGCCUGAUGGAGGGGGAUAACUACUGGAACCGGUAGCUACUACCGCAUACCAUCAGAUGUGCUCUGAUGGGAUUAGCGAGUGGGUGGGGUAACGGCUCACCAAGGCGACGAUCCCUAGCUGGUCUGAGAGGAUGAACGGCCACACUGGAACUGAGACACGGUCCAGACUCCUACGGGAGGCAGCAGUAGGGAAUAGUGCGCAAUGGGCGAAAGCCUGAUAGAGCCAUGCCGCGUGAGUGAAGAAGGUCUUCGGGUUGUAAAGUACUUUCAGCGGGGAAGCGUUACCCAAAGAGGAAGCACCGGCUAACUCCGUGCCAGCAGCCGCGGUAAUAC
rnacentral:rRNA from 1 species